rnacentral:rRNA from 1 species
AUUGAACGCUGGCGGCAGGCCUAACACAUGCAAGUCGGACGAGCGGCUGACGGGUGAGUAAUGUAUGGGGCUCUGCCUGAGGGAGGGGGAUAACUACUGGAAACGGUCUCUCAUACCGCAUACCAUCAGAUGAACCCAUAUGGUAUUAGCUUGUAGGUGGGGGAACGGCUCACCAAGGCGACGACCCCUAGCUGGUCUGAGAGGAUGAUCAGCCACACUGGGACUGAGACACGGCCCAGACUCCUACGGGAGGCAGCAGUGGGGAAUAUUGCACAAUGGGCGCAAGCCUGAUGCAGCCAUGCCGCGUGUAUGAAGAAGGCCUUCGGGUUGUAAAGUACUUUCAGUCGGGAGGCGUUACCGACAGAAGAAGCACCGGCUAACUCCGUGCCAGCCGCCGCGGUAAUUC